rnacentral:misc_RNA from 1 species
AUUGAACUGAAAGUUGUAGUCUUUAGACAGUGUUUCAAAAUAUGUACCUGUAUUAUGUAUAUGAUAUUCCAAUCAGAGAUUUGGUGAAACUGUUGUCAAACAACAACUGUGAUAAUACUGCUUUCCAAUUGGUUAGUUAAUUUAAGAUAUUAAUAUCACCCUUAAAUUUUUGUUCAUAUAUGUUUAAAGUCUAUAUACUUUCAUAGGGCCUUAAAUCAAACCAAAGAAAAGUUUGAUGUAAAAUAAGUUGAUAUUGGUUGCUCUUGCCUGUUUUGAUUUUUUUUUUUGUUGCUUAUUUGAAUAAAGUCAAUUUUCUGAC